UACUGUAUGUCAUUAUGUGAAUAAAAGUAGUAUGUCAUAAAUACACGCACCAUAAUAUGUUUGCUGCAUCUCUGUGCUUAUACAUACACAAGCUAUGUGUGUGUGUGUGUGUGUGUGUGUAUUAUAUGCAUGUAUGGAAACUCAUGACUCAAUUAAGUAAAAAUUAUUUUACUUGUGAAACUGAAUUAAAGUGUACUAUCGAACAUCCAUUAGCACAAAUAAUGGACCUUUAAAAACUUAAACUUAAAAACACUUAAUACUGACAAGCCAUGGCACACUGUCAUGCCUUCAAGGCAAAAGUGCCACACAGAAUAAUAGAUUUAAGUGCAAACUCCAUCAAGCCUGACUUCCAGAAGAGCAGAAACAACUUCUCCAAACAGGAGUAGGAAAACAAAGGUGUGUGGCAUACAACAAAAAUACUUAAAUGUAAACAGUGCAAUCAAUCUUUUGUGUAUAACACUGCAUGUGGGCAUAUUUUGUUUUUUUCUGACACUCCUGUCACUCCACUUCUCAGGUCGUCAUACAUCUCCCAAACACAUGGAGACCUCCUGCAGUAGGCCACAUAAUGUCCAAGAGCAUCCUGGGUUAAGCCUCCUUUGAAAGCAAUGACUGCCCUUAAAGUAAAUCUCUCUCCUUGGAGCAUCAGAUUUGAGGGAAACUCACUCAAAGGAAAUUCUAUGGAGUUGCUUCCCAGAGGGACACUGUGAUGGACUUUGGAUUGGCCUGAGGCAGGGGGACUCCGGAAGGUUAAGGCCUUCUUCCACUGCGGUCUGAAGAUGAGCGAUGCCAGAAGCCUGCAAUACAGCAACAGAAGUACAAACAAAUGGUAUUUCCCUUGUGACUUGUGUGCUGUGACUGCAAUACUGUGAGGAGCACUGUUUUGUGAAGUAAACACAUGCAUGUUUUGUCAUUGAUUUUUCAAUGAUAGUGGAGAUGUGGCACUGUGCAUCAAUUUCGAGAGCACCAAACUUCAGCUGGACAGCUGGAGGAGGUUGUUGGAGUCCUCACCACAAACAAAAUUUGCAAAGGUGACACUAUCACAGAAAGCACAGCAUAAGCAUUGACAAAAAGCAUCAAAUGCA